AUAGCGUAUAUUAAAGUUGUUGCAGUUAAAAAGCUCGUAGUUGAAACUUGGGUCUGGCUGGCAGGUCCGCCUCACCGCGUGUACUUGUCCGGCCGGGCCUUCCUUCUGGAGAACCUCAUGCCCUUCUCUGGGCGUGUUGGGGACCAGGACUUUUACUUUGAAAAAAUUAGAGUGUUCAAAGCAGGCCUUUGCUCGAAUACGUUAGCAUGGAAUAAUAGAAUAGGACGUGCGGUUCUAUUUUGUUGGUUUCUAGAGCCGCCGUAAUGAUUAAUAGGGACAGUCGGGGGCAUCAGUAUUCAAUUGCCAGAGGUGAAAUUCUUGGAUUUAUUGAAGACUAACUACUG
rnacentral:rRNA from 1 species